rnacentral:tRNA from 2 species
GCGGGCAUGGUAUAGUGGUUGUGCCUUAGCCUUCCAAGCUAAUGAGUCCGGUUCGAUCCCGGAUGUCCGCUCCA